GAUGAACGCUAGCUACAGGCUUAACACAUGCAAGUCGAGGGGUAACGAGAGGAAAGCUUGCUUUCCUUGUCGACGACCGGCGCACGGGUGAGUAACGCGUAUCCAACCUGCCCCCAACUAGGGAAUAACCUUGCGAAAGUAAGACUAAUACCCUAUCAUUUCCUCAGAUGUCAUCUGACGAGGAAUAAAGAUUUAUCGGUUGUGGAUGGGGAUGCGUCUGAUUAGCUUGUUGGCGGGGUAACGGCCCACCAAGGCAACGAUCAGUAGGGGUUCGGAGAGGAAGGUCCCCCACAUUGGAACUGAGACACGGUCCAAACUCCUACGGGAGGCAGCAGUGAGGAAUAUUGGUCAAUGGGCGGAAGCCUGAACCAGCCAAGUAGCGUGCAGGAUGACGGCCCUAUGGGUUGUAAACUGCUUUUAUACAGGAAUAAAGUGAGCCACGUGUGGUUAUUUGUAGGUACUGUAUGAAUAAGGACCGGCUAAUUCCGUGCCAGCCGCCGCCAUAA
rnacentral:rRNA from 1 species